AAUCCCUCCCCCUCUCCAUUUUCCUCCCUCUCCAGCUCUAUUUACCUAUUUUAUGGCACGCAGUCAAAGGCAGAGAGCAAGCUCUGUUCAAAUCAAAUCACGUUUUUUUGUCACAUGCGCCGGAUAGAACUUUACCAUGAAAUGCUUACUUAUGAGCCCUUUCCCAACGAUGCAGAGUAAUAAAAAAAACCCACAAGGAAUAAAAUACACAAGAAUGAAGCUAUAUACAGGGAGUACCAGUAGUAUAUCAAUGAGGCAGAUGAAAAUGCGCAGCGCUCCGUUUUUAGGUCAGUGGGACACGGAAUGGCGCUCUCUCUCUCUCCCUUCUUUUGAUCGACGAGUGGAAACAUUGUGACCUUCCUGACAUUCUAGUUUUCAGUUUUCCCUCGCAACUUUGUUUUUAAAACAUACUACACCCUCUAGUAUUGUGUCUGGGUGAAAACCGAGACAGAGGAAGAGAUGGCUCAUCUGGUGGCUGUGGUGAUUCUUUAGGGGAAAGAAAGAGCAGAGCAAAAUAGGAGGGAAUUCCUAGCUGUCUGUCUCUCACUGUGAAAAAAAGACAGAGAAAAGUGUCCUGGAAGGUGUAACCACUAAAACUAUUAUGCAAAUGAGGAAAUGAGGAAGGGAGCUGCCACUGUGAGAAAGAUAUACUGUAAACUAGUAUUAUUAUGUAAUAAAAUGGUCAUACUCUAGAUUGUUAUGAUGAGGUUGAAGCUAGGUCAAGUUGUUAUGAUGAGGUUGAGACUAGAUCUAUAUUGUUAUGAGGUUGAGACUAGGUCAGGUUGUUAUGACAAGGUUGAGACUAGGGUCUAGGUUGUUAUGAUGUGGUUGAUACCAGGUCAGGUUGUUAUGAUGAGGUUGAUACUAGGUCAGGUUGUUAUGAUGAGGUUGAUACUAGGUCAGGUUGUUAUGAUGAGGUUUAUACUAGGUCAGGUUGUGUAACCCAGACAAGCUCUAGAGCCAAAUGAAGUGGCUAGAAAGUACUCUACUUGUACUGAGUUCAGUUAGUGUGUCAGUGACAGAUGGAGUAGAGACAGCUUUAGAUUAGAUCCCAAAAAUAAAACCAGACCUUAUUUAGUCUUACUUGAGCUAUUGUUAGAUAUAGUGGUGGUAGCCUGAUAGUGGUAGCAAAGACCAGAAAUGAACAGAUUAAAUACCUAACAUUAGAAACAAUAUUGAAUCUAUAGAAAAAAGAGAUAAGAAAACAAUAACUGACCAAAAGCUUCUGUUACUGAUC
rnacentral:lncRNA from 1 species